rnacentral:tRNA from 1 species
GCGGAUGUGGUGAAAUUGGCAGACACGCCAGAUUUAGGUUCUGGUGAGCAAUCGUGCAGGUUCAAGUCCUGUCAUCCGCACCA